GGGACGGCGUCAUGACGAUCGGUGAGUCAGGUGUGGGAUUUGUGUGUGAAAGGGUUGGAGCAUGAAGGGUGAGGAAGAGCGCUUUCUCAGCAGGAGCAUGCGGUGGCGGCAUGUG
rnacentral:rRNA from 1 species